rnacentral:rRNA from 1 species
UGGGGAAUCUUAGACAAUGGGCGCAAGCCUGAUCUAGCCAUGCCGCGUGAGCGAUGAAGGUCUUAGGGUUGUAAAGCUCUUUCAGUGGGGAAGAUAAUGACUGUACCCACAGAAGAAGCCCCGGCUAACUCCGUGCCAGCAGCCGCGGUAAUACGGAGGGGGCUAGCGUUGUUCGGAAUUACUGGGCGUAAAGCGCACGUAGGCGGACUGGAAAGUCAGAGGUGAAAUCCCAGGGCUCAACCUUGGAACUGCCUUUGAAACUCCCGGUCUUGAGGUCGAGAGAGGUGAGUGGAAUUCCGAGUGUAGAGGUGAAAUUC